rnacentral:rRNA from 1 species
CGCGUGGGAACAUACCCUCCGGUUCGGAAUAACUCAGGGAAACUUGAGCUAAUACCGGAUACGGUCGAGAGGCGAAAGAUUUAUCGCCGGAGGAUUGGCCCGCGUCCGAUUAGCUAGUUGGUGUGGUAACGGCGCACCAAGGCGACGAUCGGUAGCUGGUCUGAGAGGAUGAUCAGCCACAUUGGGACUGAGACACGGCCCAAACUCCUACGGGAGGCAGCAGUGGGGAAUAUUGGACAAUGGGCGGAAGCCUGAUCCAGCAACGCCGCGUGAGGGAUGACGGCCUGGUUGUAACUCUUC